rnacentral:lncRNA from 15 species
GACAUCAUCGCUAGAGUGUGGGGAGAGAGAAAAAUUUGUCGAAAAAUAAAUUUGUAAACUGCUGUCAUGGCCACAAAUUUCACUCUACCGAAAUAAUUUAUAGAUAGAAACGUAGGUAAAUCCGUUGGGGUCGCAGUGAUACUACUGCUGAAGCUGUCAGACAAAUAGUUUUGGCGGGAGACGCACUGAUGCGCCAGCAACUCCCUCUCACGGCCCCAUCUACUCCCAUGUUAAAAUGGAGAGGAGGAUUCUUGAAAAACGCUCGUUGAACCUCUUCUCUCUCAAUCUCCCCAGGUCACAUUUUUUAACUUUAGCCACUGAAACUCGGCAGCGCUAUAGUCAACAAGAUGACGACGCUCACGGUCUUUUCGGUUUUCAUUUCGGUCGUUCCUGUCCAUGCUUUUGAGGGGAUUCAUUUUAAAUGUUUCUGUCUCUCUGAGGAGUUAGAGACAGAGAGAGAGCAGACAGAGAGAGAGCACGCGCAGCUGCUGUGGGCUCCCCUGAUUGCCAUGACAACCAAAGCCUGCUCACACACACACACACACACACACAGCUAGCUACAGAGAAUGACAAGACAUUAAUAAGCUAGCUAGCUGGCUAGCUAAAGGUAAUUAGCAGGUGGCUAACAAACAAACAAUUUAAAGCUGAAUGAUUUUAAUAUUAACACAAAAUAAGUUCAAUACACCUUAAAUAUUUUACCCUACUAUGAGCUGUUCCUUAAUUUACAUUAGCACUCCUUCAGGAGCAUAACACAAUUAGACACAUUAACCAAAGCUAGCACUUAGCUAGCGAUUAGCGCUUAGCUAGCGAUUAGCAUGUAGCUAGCGAUUAGCAUGUAGCUAGCUUAGCAGUUAGCUAGCAGAUUAGCACGUUAGCUAAGCGCUAGCUUUGGUUUAUGUGUUUAUGUGUGCUAGCUCUAGCUAGCUAGCUAAAGAGAAUGACAUGAUAUUAAUAUGCUAGCGCUAGCUAAGGAGGAUGACAGGUUAUCAAUAUGCUAUAGGGAGGAUUACAUGGCAUUAAUAAUCUAGCGCUAGCUGGCUAGCUAAAGAUAAUUAGCAGGUGGCUAACAAGCAAACAAUUUAAAGCUGAAUGAUUUUAAUAUUAACACAAAAUAAGUUCAAUACACCUUAAAUAUUUUACCCUACUAUGAGCUGUUCCUUAAUUUACAUUAGCACUCCUUCAGGAGCAUAAUACAAUUAAACACAUUAACCAAAGCUAGCACUUAGCUAGCGAUUAGCGGUUAGCACUUAGCUAGCGAUUAGCGCAGAGCUAGCGGUUAGCACGUAGACAUGGUAUUAACAUAUGGGCCAGAGCAAGGCACAAUCAAAAUUGCUUUAGGAAUUUUCUAGUUUGUGCCUGUAAUCCACGGUUUAUCACUACUAUCCCUCGGGCUUAUUAUUGUGCCUUGCAAAGCAAGCACAAUACUACUAUCCCUCGGGCUUAUUAUUGUGCCUUGCAUAAGCAAGCACAAUACUACUAUCCCUCGGGCUUAUUAUUAUUAUUCUUCCGUACGUUUUUCGGCGCGCUACUCCUCCCGCAGCUUUUGUCGCACAUACACAAAAAAGGUAUCAAAACGUGCGGCUCGGCCGGGAAUCGAGUGCUAUGACUUUUCUAAGCGUUUCGCCAAACGGUUCGCCGAUAAAUCGCCAAAAACCGGUAAAAAAAAAUGAAUGGGUGU